rnacentral:misc_RNA from 1 species
ACGUGAUACUCACGUAUUAACAACUCACCGUGAAUAUAUAUUACUGUCCUAUUGUUGAAUGUAAUGUUGACGAAAUGUGCGAAUUGCUGCGGCGUCGUUGUUAAUUCAACCACCCUAUCACAUCAGUCGUUUCUAGGUCCGCCCUGGAGCAAGCACCAACAAAUAGAUGAAAACAAUCACGGCUGCUUAUUAAGCCUGUAGCAUAGCUUGCAGUUCGUCGGUGAAACUAUUAACCCCACCAUUUACUAUUAUUUACUGAUUUUGUACGUUUAUAUGAAUUCCUAACUUCGGUUGGUUGAGUUUAUUUAGAUGUCGUAUAUUACUAAUACGAAACAACUCUUAGCAACGGAUAUCUUGGUUCU